GUGUACUUCAAACACUUCCCACCUCUAGGACAAACUAUUUACGUGACCUUGGCAAGGUUGAACUCGAUGGUUUCUGAGGUCCCUUCUAGUUCUAAAUCCAUGAUCCUUUGAGAUCCUAAGUCACAUGGGCUACAAUUUGAAUUCUCACACUGGCAGUUCCCCCAUUCUGACAAAAAUCAUAGAUCCUUCACAUAUUUAUGUGUUCCCUAAUAAAGGAAUCAUACAUAUUGCCACAGAUAUAGUGAGUGUACCUUCCAAUUCCAUGGACUAUCUAAGAUGAGGAGGAACUGAGGCAACUCCCCACUUAGGAGCUAACAGAAUUGUCUCUCUCAUCCAAACAGCAUCUAGGUGGGUAUGAGGCAAAGUAAAACUCGCACUGGCUGGUUAAUGACUCUUCAAAGCACCUCCGUUUUAGCUGGGCAACCAAUCGGCAAUCCACCUCUUCAGGGCAGUCAGUAAUAGAAUGUUGGCGUAAGCUCUGAAUUGAGGAGUAAAGCCCUUUCAUAUACUCCAAUGUGCCUUUCUGGAAUCAGUCUCCCUAGCCUCUUCCAUAUGGGCUGGCAUCAAUGAGAGGACGCUAGACAUGUCCUGAGAACUAAGCUUCAUUGGCUAGAUUCCUAUGGAUAGAGGAGCUCCAUAAUCUAGGGAUCCAGCCAUGGCAAAAUAUCUUCUUUCCUCUUGAGUUCCUGAUUCCUUGAUCAAGCCAAGACAGCUAUAUUGAGACCAAAUCAUGAACCCUAUUUUUGUGAUGGAAAAACACCUUAAGUCACUUUCCCACAAAGUCCAAAAAAAUUAUUACUGAGUGAAUGGAUAAAUGCUUGACCAAGAUGAUAAAGGAUGAAUAGGUUUUCAAUAAGUCAUCUGCAAAAUGGGGUGGCGACUGCUUUAUUGGCUUACCUCCCAGCAUUAUGGAGAGAGAGCAGCUUUGUGGAACCCAGAGGUCUUUGUAAAUGGGAAUCUAUAGGUCAGUAAAACAAGGUUCCUUUCUGAACUCCAUGGCUGGGAGUCCCUUGGAGCUGCAGCCCCAGACAAAACCCUGUCAGUAGCCUGCCAGAUCCCAGCAGGAGCAACUAGUGCCAGGAACUGCCUGAACCUCACAAGGACAAGUUAGUACCAUCAUGCAUCUAUUUAGUACCAUAGUUCCUCUAUGGUACAUUAAGGAUUAAAGAGGCUUCUGAGGGUUUGGGGGAUUUAUGUCACUUAUAAACAUACCUCCUGCUCAGAUACAUCUCACUCUAUGGACUACUGAUUAUAUGUAGGCUCUAAAUUGUAUGAAAUUU
rnacentral:lncRNA from 1 species